rnacentral:rRNA from 1 species
GGGUUGUGAGGUUAAGCGACCAAGCGUACACGGUGGAUGCCCUGGCAGUCAGAGGCGAUGAAGGACGUGCUAAUCUGCGAAAAGCGCCGGUAAGGUGAUAUGAACCGUUAUAACCGGCGAUGUCCGAAUGGGGAAACCCAGUGUGACUCGUCACACUAUCAUUAACUGAAUCCAUAGGUUAAUGAGGCGAACCGGGGGAACUGAAACAUCUAAGUACCCCGAGGAAAAGAAAUCAACCGAGAUUCCCCCAGUAGCGGCGAGCGAACGGGGAGGAGCCCAGAGCCUGAAUCAGCAUGUGUGUUAGUGGAAGCGUCUGGAAAGGCGCGCGAUACAGGGUGAGAGCCCCGUACACAAAAGCGCACAUACUGUGAGCUCGAUGAGUAGGGCGGGACACGUGGUAUCCUGUCUGAAUAUGGGGGGACCAUCCUCCAAGGCUAAAUACUCCUGACUGACCGAUAGUGAACCAGUACCGUGAGGGAAAGGCGAAAAGAACCCCGGCGAGGGGAGUGAAACAGAACCUGAAACCGUGUACGUACAAGCAGUGGGAGCCUCUCUUUAUGGGGGGUGACUGCGUACCUUUUGUAUAAUGGGUCAGCGACUUAUAUUCUGUAGCAAGGUUAACCGCAUAGGGGAGCCGAAGGGAAACCGAGUCUUAAUUGGGCGUUAAGUUGCAGGGUAUAGACCCGAA